rnacentral:lncRNA from 1 species
CAUAUGGCGGGUCUGGACCAUAGUUAGUUAAUUCGCGAUUAAUACCCGAAUUAUUCGCGAAUUUUUAAAUAUACGAUUUAAACGGUCCGUUCCCGUAUUUUUUCGAAAUUUUUGAAAAAAAACGCGUCUUCUUCCUCAAAAAUAAUUAUUCGCGAAUUAUUCGCGAUUCGCGAACGAUUCACCCAAAAAAACGGACGCUUGUGGUCGCAGAUUUGCAGCCGAGGGUCGCGUUGUCGCCGCUCUCGUCACCGAGCUCGUCUGAGUCGUAGUCGUCCUCCUCCGCCGCCCUGGCCGGCGCCGGGAGCAAGAGCCGUGGCGGCAGAUCCGGCCUCAUCGUCGUCCUCCUCCACCUCCAUGCUCGGCGCCAGGAGCAAGAGCAGCUGCGGCAGAUCCGCCCAAGGCCGUCAGCGGAAAAGACGAAGUGGGAUUGUAGGGAACAGUGUAAAAAUCGCGGCGUUUUGAGUUAUGCAUCAUGCGCGGUCCACGAGGCCGCGUGAGAAGGAGGUNUUAUUAUAUAGCCGAAUUUUUUAUUCCGAAUUUUUAAUGGUUGAACGUAUAAUAUCCGUAUAAAUCACGUAUCCGAAUAAUUACCGAAUCCGUUUUUUAGCCGUAUUUUUCAACAAAUUUAAAAAUUAAGAGACGAAUUUUAUCCGAAUUAUAUUCGUACCGAAUUUUUGCCGAAUCCGAAUUAACUAACUAUGGUCUGGACACGCACCGGGCGGGUCUCGGCCGGGUCCCGGG